GACGAACGCUGGCGGCGUGCCUAAUACAUGCAAGUAGAACGCUGAGGACUGGUGCUUGCACUGGUCUAAGGAGUUGCGAACGGGUGAGUAACGCGUAGGUAACCUACCUCAUAGCGGGGGAUAACUAUUGGAAACGAUAGCUAAUACCGCAUAAGCCCACGACCCGGCAUCGGGCUGAGGGAAAAGGAGUGAUCCGCUUUGAGAUGGCCUCGCGUCCGAUUAGCUAGUUGGUGAGGUAACGGCCCACCAAGGCGACGAUCGGUAGCCGGACUGAGAGGUUGAACGGCCACAUUGGGACUGAGACACGGCCCAG
rnacentral:rRNA from 1 species